GACCAUCAUCCCUGAGGCACAUCCCACAUCUGUCAAUUCUGGCUGUGUGACCUAAGAUAAGUAAUUAACCUCUCUGAGCCACAGUUUACUGGGCCACUUACUGCUUGGGGAGUAUAUGGAAUGCAUAUGAAAUUAUGAACUGAAGGCCUGGUAUAUUACAAACUUCUGUUCUUUGCAUGUUAAAAUGCCAUUCACAUACAGUUGUGGGUGGGAGCUCAAGCAGGAUCAGGCUCUAACAAAGUCUUAUGGGAAGUGAAGCCAGGCUUCAGCUCUGACUCUGCUUGGAAAGACAUGUCUCUGAUGCACAUUUUUUGAUGGGUCAACAAGUAUACACACGUGUAUACACACACACAUACACAAACACGUAUCAAUCUCUUCAUUCUGUCAUAGAGGGAAGCUCCCUAAGACUCGGAAAGUUCUAAAGAAAGGCUUGUAAAGACCCCAGAAGCAGACAACUUACAAGUCUCAGAAAUUCCUGAAAUCGACCAUAUUCACAAGGCACCUCCUUCCCAAGUGAUGACUGCUGAGGAGUGUCAGCCCAGCCUACCUGCUUAGAGCAGACUCUGGCUUGCUAAGCCACCUGAAAGUCAUGCACAGAGCUCAUCCCCCACACUGGACUGGGCUUUCAGUUGUCCUUUGAGUGGCCCGAGUUGUGUCUGCUCCAGUUCCUUCAUGUACAAGGGAGAGACGGAGCAGCAGUUUAUUCUUCUUGGACCAAAUGUGCAUCCAAUGAGCACACAGAUAGAAAGCCACUGCCUGUCACAGAAGAUGGCGGGAAGAAUAGAAACUUGGCUGGAGAAACAUUAGGCAGAGCUAGAGAACCCCGUUGAGGAGGAGGAGGAAGGACUGUGGGAGCCAGAGGGGUCGAAGAUGCCAGGAGAACACAGGCUCACAAGGGCUCACAAAGACUGAAGCAGCAAUCACAGAACCUGUGUCGGCCUGCACUAGGUCCUCUGUAUAUUUGUUAUGGUUGUAUAACUUAGGAGUUCUGUGGGACUGCUAACAGCAGGACUGGGGGCUGUCUCGGACUCUUUCGCCUGCUCUUAGGACCCCCUUUU